rnacentral:rRNA from 1 species
AUGAUCUCCGCAAGUACUAGUCCUAUAUGGAGUAUUCUCUGGAAAUUGCAAGUCCCAGCCAAAGUGAAAAUUCACUACUGGAGGGCACUAUAUGGUGCAAUACCCUGUCGGGGCAUUAUGGCUAAUCGGCAUAUGAUCACUAACUCACAGUGCCCUAUUUGCGGUCUGGAUUGUGAGAGUAUCAGCCAUGCUUUCUUCAAGUGUCAACGUGUUCAAGCUGUCUGGUGUGCACUGGGCAUGGCAAACAGGAUCAACGAGCUUUGCUCCCUCGAAAGGGAAGGUGCGGCAGUGUUGGCUGACCUACUUCUAACUCCUAAUGUACCGGCACAGCUGCUUCCGAGUGUUAACUGUAAAGAGUUAAUCGCAACGACAGUUUGGUACCUGUGGUGGGAACGGAGGAAGUUUACGCACGGUGAACAGCUACAGGAUCCUACACGAUCAGCACAAGCAAUUUCGACGCUGUCCAAGAACUUCUCAAGAGCAAAGAAAAAGGGUCCAGGCCACAUUGAGAGACAUGGAUGGACCAAGCCAAGUGAGGGAUUUGUAAAACUCAACGUAGAUGCCUCUUUUUCUGAGGACAGUGGUUCAGGGGGUUCAGGUGCAAUCUUACGCGAUGCUUCUGGAUCUUUCAUUGCAGCAUCAUGUAGCGACAUUCGGUUCGUUGAGGACACGGCGACGGCGGAAGCCCGAGGGCUCCGAGACGGCCUCAUUCUCGCAAACGACAUGGGCUGCAACAAACUGGUGAUUGAGGCCGACUGUAUGGAAGUGAUCCAAGUGAUGCAAUCUGGAGGCAACUCGCUUGGACCGGCAGCAGCUAUUUAUGAGGAGUGCGCUUUUAUUUGUCGUAAUUUUGCUUCAGUUAGUUUUCAACACUGCCCUAGGGAAGCCAAUAUGGCGGCUGAUAUGUUAGCUACUUUGUCGGAGGACUCGCGAACCAUUGUAUGGCAGUCCGAGCCUCCGGGUUUUUUGUUAGACAUUUUGUCAGAAGAUGUAGCCCUUUUUGCUCAUGAAAUAUAA